UGCGCUUACCUGGCGGGCGGGAAGGGUGGCUGGGGAGCAAGAAGCUUGUGGGAACGUAAGGGAUUAAAUUGGAAUCCUGGGGUUGUGCAGCGAGGCGAUAGGGAAGGGGUAGCAGAAAAAUGCCUACAAACAACAGGGAAUAAAACGGUGUCAAGACAUCUAAAUUACAAGGAUGAUAACUGAGGUGUCUCCUAGUGACUUGGAAUACGCAAGUAUUUACUUACCUUAUCUUAGAAGAUUCUGAGUAAGACCGGUCAGUUGAGAAGUCUGAAAGAAAUUAGUUCUAAGCUAUUUCCUCGUGACUGAAAUUGCAAAUGUCAGAUUCCAUUACAGGCAGCCAAGAGUAGAAGAGCUUCUCCCUCGCUUCAUCCCAGGGUAUCCCAGAAGCCUUUGUGCAGUGUUAACCUUUAAACAGGACUAAGACUUUGGGACACUCUUAUCUUUAUUGAACGAACCCUGUGCUAACUACCGAAGACAUGAUUAUAAGCAGCACAGACAUACUAGCUGGUCUCAUGAAGCUUCUCAUCUCUUGAAGGUGUCAGACCAAUAAGUAAAUGCUUGCGAACAGCUACUGUGGAGAUGUUCCCAUUACUCUUGCUGCAUAACAAAAAUGAGACUAUGCUUCAUGGACUCUGUGGGUCAAGAAUUCAGUCAGAGUGUGGCUGGGUGAUUCUUCUACUCCUGGAUCGACUGCAGUCACUCUGUGGGAUUCAGCUGGUGGAUGGACUGGUCUAGAGGAUCCAAAUGGCCUUGCUCACAUGUUUGGUGGUGGGAGAGCCUAAAAGACUAGCUCACAUGGCACACACAACUGGAACACCCAUGCAUGGUGUUUCCAGCCUGGUGGUCUCUGGGUAACUGAAUUUCUUACAUAGGGACCAAGUACCCCCAGACCAUGUCUCAAGAAAAUUAGGUGGAAACUUCAUGACAUUUUUGGACCUAGCCUGGAAAGUCACACAAUAAAACUCACAGCAAUUUCUUGUUGGUUAACAAGGGAGUCAUAAGGUCAGCCUAGAUUCAAGGAGAAAGAAAUUGGAUUCUAUUUCUUGGUGUGGGAAUAGCAAAUUCACACUGUAGAAAACUUGUGAGAAGGGAGACACUAUUAUAGCCAUCUCUCUCUCUCUCUUUUUUUUUUUUAAUUGUUAAAGAAUUUGUACUUAGAAUUAGCCAGCUGAACUAAGUUUAGAUGAUUCCACUUUUGUUGGCAACAUUCAAAGCACCAUAGUCAGGAGCUAGUUGAAUAGAUGCUUUAUUCUCUUCAUCAGGGUUGUUCAGAGUGUUGACCUUGACCCCAUCCAGGAUCAGUGUCAUAGAGCUUCUUCAUAGCCUGUUUGGUCUGGCACUUGUUGGUUUUGACAUCCACAAGGAAGAAGUCUUCUGUCUUCUUCAUGGCCGACUCAGUUGUCAGGGGGCUUGGUAUUGGCAUAGGGGUCAAACUUGUUUCUCCUGAGGUACUCUUCUAAGGCUAUUUGGGUUGUCUUUAGAAACAGUGUCUUAGGCUAUCAAAAGUUGGGUGAUAUGAAGAUCUUCUUUAUGACUAUCUUCAAAAAUACAACCUUCCAGAAAAAGAAAGAAAGAAAAAACAGUUGGAGGGAAAGAUUUUAUAGAACUAAAAGUAAGAAAGAUGGGUAAGAAAGACAAUAGGAGGAAGACAAUGGAGACCUCCAGAGGCAGAGUAAAUACUUCUUGCAAAGGCCCUGUGGUGAAAAGGAAUUUGCCAAAUUUGAGAAACAAAACAAAACAAAAAACAGCUGGAGCUGGAGUUUGGAGAGUGAGGGGGAGGGUAAGUUUCAAAAAUCAGGUAGUAUCUUGCAAGCCAUGUUAAGAUGUCCAGACGCUCUAGUAAGAGCAGUGGGAACAAGAUGUUUCAGCAGAGAGUAGCAUGAUCUGAGGACUUGCGUGGAUCUUUCAGAAUAAAUUGGAGGGAUCAGUUCUGAUCCAGUUAGGAAAUGGUUGCAGUGUCCAUGCUGAUGAUGAGGGUGGCCUGAAUUAAUAUGGCAUACAGAUUUGAGUUUUAUUUAGAGACAUAAUUAAGAGAUCUUUCUGUGGAUUGAACAUAGGAGGAUAGGGAUUGUGAGAUGUAUUAGUUUCUGACAGCUGCUGUAACAAAUGUCGAAAGUGAAAUAAAAUGGAGUCAAUUUAUGUCAAGGGGUCUUAAAAUGGAGCCAGGAGGCUAUUAAGAAAAUGGGCCCUUUGCAUCCUCUUGCUGGGUAAAACCAUGAACUUUUGAACUGGGCCAAAUCGCAGCUAUUCCUAGGACUCUACAACUUGCUAUGGUAACAGAUUUCUGCUUAUGACAGCCUUAGCAACCAAGAUGUUUUCUUCCACCAACACCAAUCAAAAUCUUUAAAAAGAACGUAUACAAGCAUUCCAUACUGUCUUUAAAAACUCCAGGCUUCUAUUCUCUAAUGAGACACAACGUGGGUUACUACCUGAAUCUCUACUCCCCAAAUUAUAAUUCUGAGACCCCAAAUAAA